GGUAUAGUCUUCGGAUUAGAGACCGGCGCACGGGUGCGUAACGCGUAUGCAAUCUACCUUUUACAGAGGGAUAGCCCAGAGAAAUUUGGAUUAAUACCUCAUAGUAUAUAGACUCGGCAUCGAGAUUAUAUUAAAGUCACAACGGUAAAAGAUGAGCAUGCGUCCCAUUAGCUAGUUGGUAAGGUAACGGCUUACCAAGGCUACGAUGGGUAGGGGUCCUGAGAGGGAGAUCCCCCACACUGGUACUGAGACACGGACCAGACUCCUACGGGAGGCAGCAGUGAGGAAUAUUGGACAAUGGGCGCAAGCCUGAUCCAGCCAUGCCGCGUGCAGGAUGACGGUCCUAUGGAUUGUAAACUGCUUUUAUACGAGAAGAAACACUACUUCGUGAAGUAGCUUGACGGUAUCGUAAGAAUAAGGAUCGGCUAACUCCGUGCCAGCAGCCGCGGUAAUACGGAGGAUCCAAGCGUUAUCCGGAAUCAUUGGGUUUAAAGGGUCCGUAGGCGGGUUUAAUAAGUCAGUGGUGAAAGCCCAUCGCUCAACGGUGGAACGGCCAUUGAUACUGUUAAACUUGAAUUAUUAGGAAGUAACUAGAAUAUGUAGUGUAGCGGUGAAAUGCUUAGAGAUUACAUGGAAUACCAAUUGCGAAGGCAGGUUACUACUAAUUGAUUGACGCUGAUGGACGAAAGCGUGGGUAGCGAACAGGAUUAGAUACCCUGGUAGUCCACGCCGUAAACGAUGGAUACUAGCUGUUGGGAGCAAUCUCAGUGGCUAAGCGAAAGUGAUAAGUAUCCCACCUGGGGAGUACGUUCGCAAGAAUGAAACUCAAAGGAAUUGACGGGGGCCCGCACAAGCGGUGGAGCAUGUGGUUUAAUUCGAUGAUACGCGAGGAACCUUACCAAGGCUUAAAUGUAGAUUGACCGUUUUGGAAACAGAACUUUCGCAAGACAAUUUACAAGGUGCUGCAUGGUUGUCGUCAGCUCGUGCCGUGAGGUGUCAGGUUAAGUCCUAUAACGAGCGCAACCCCUGUUGUUAGUUGCCAGCGAGUCAUGUCGGGAACUCUAACAAGACUGCCAGUGCAAACUGUGAGGAAGGUGGGGAUGACGUCAAAUCAUCACGGCCCUUACGCCUUGGGC
rnacentral:rRNA from 1 species